GACGAACGCUGGCGGCAUGCUUAACACAUGCAAGUCGAACGGUAAGGCCCUUCGGGGUACACGAGUGGCGAACGGGUGAGUAACACGUGGGUGAUCUGCCCUGCACUUCGGGAUAAGCCUGGGAAACUGGGUCUAAUACCGGAUAGGACCACUGCCUGCAUGGGUGGUGGUGGAAAGCUUUUGCGGUGUGGGAUGGGCCCGCGGCCUAUCAGCUUGUUGGUGGGGUGAUGGCCCACCAAGGCGACGACUGGUAGCCGGCCUGGGGGGGUGACCGGCCACACUGGGACUGAGAUACGGCCCAGACUCCUUCGGGAGGCAGCAGUGGGGAAUAUUGCACAAUGGGCGCAAGCCUGAUGCAGCGACGCCGCGUGAGGGAUGACGGCCUUCGGGUUGUAAACCUCUUUCAGCACCGACGAAGCGCAAGUGACGGUAGGUGCAGAAGAAGGACCGGCCAACUACGUGCCAGCCGCCGCGGUAA
rnacentral:rRNA from 1 species